rnacentral:lncRNA from 1 species
CAAAAUCUUUCCAAGAGUUCACAUUCACACAAGCACAGCGCCUACAAGGGAGGGGACCUGACCUUGUGUUCCCUCACACACCUCCUUUCCAGGUGAUCUCCUCAGCCAAGACCUGAAGCAGCUGGAAGGCCCUCGCUGGGACAUCAGUCCCAAGCUCUGGAAUGCCUCAGCCUCCAAACUGUGAGAAACAAAGAUAUUCUGUUAGGACAGCAGAAAAUGAACUGAGCCAUUUCAGUUUCAGAAGAUGGAGUAGAGGCACGGCCUGUGCUGGGACCAGCAUGACAGAAAUGUCAGGAGAUGUCUGGAAUUAAGAGAAUUACAAAGAGAAGGGGGAAACAUACGAAGAAACGCAGGUCUUUGGAUCAAGAGUCCAAAGGCGAAAAUGCUGAAAUGAAGAUUAGAAUGCAGGAAAGUUAUAUGGAAGUGGCUUUUGGAUCAGUAUCUAUGGAUUAGUGCAAGCAGCAGGAUCAGACUGCAGUCCAACAGUGCCUCAGUGGGGACAAACGCCUCUGCCAGCUCCAAGGGAACUUUAGAGGUAAGAUGUUUUUCUCAGACGUGUCUCAAGCUGAGAUGUGAGGCCAUUGUUCUCCCGCCCAAGGGCCAGGUUUUGGAUCUGGGUACUCAUGGGAAAAGAAGAGAAAUAAUUCCUCCUGAUGAUCCACCUCUGAGCCCUUGGUAACUAAA